rnacentral:rRNA from 1 species
UACAGAGGGGGCAAGCGUUAUUCGGAAUUAUUGGGCGUAAAGGGCGCGUAGGCGGCUUGGCAAGUGGAAGGUGAAAUCCCUCGGCUUAACCGAGGAACUGCCCUCCAAACUGCUUCGCUUGAGACCGGGAGAGGUGAGUGGAAUUCCCAGUGUAGCGGUGAAAUGCGUAGAUAUUGGGAGGAACACCAGUGGCGAAGGCGGCUCACUGGACCGGCAUUGACGCUGAGGUGCGAAAGCGUGGGGAGCAAACAGG